rnacentral:rRNA from 1 species
AGUUUGAUCCUGGCUCAGAACGAACGCUGGCGGCAGGCUUAACACAUGCAAGUCGAACGCAUCGCAAGAUGAGUGGCAGACGGGUGAGUAACGCGUGGGAAUCUACCGUGCCCUGCGGAAUAGCUCCGGGAAACUGGAAUUAAUACCGCAUACGCCCUACGGGGGAAAGAUUUAUCGGGGUAUGAUGAGCCCGCGUUGGAUUAGCUAGUUGGUGGGGUAAUGGCCUACCAAGGCGACGAUCAGUAGCUGGUCUGAGAGGAUGAUCAGCCACACUGGGACUGAGACACGGCCCAGACUCCUACGGGAGGCAGCAGUGGGGAAUAUUGGACAAUGGGCGCAAGCCUGAUCCAGCCAUGCCGCGUGAGUGAUGAAGGCCUUAGGGUUGUAAAGCUCUUUCACCGGUGAAGAUAAUGACGGUAACCGGAGAAGAAGCCCCGGCUAACUUCGUGCCAGCAGCCGCGGUAA